UCUGCCCGAAAGAAAUUAUAUACUCGUAUUACAUAAAGCGAAUUCGAAUUCACUUUUACUUUGCGAUGUUCUUUUGCCGGCACGCAAUGGUGGCGGCGCCGCAGUAGCGUGCCAGUGGAGCACAGACGAACACAAGCCACUUUUGACAUGAAGUACAUCUUCAACUCAACGAACUUUGCUUCCAUAAAACUUCAAUACAACAUCAAUCGCCAAAAAAGUUCGAAUAGUUGUAGUCAAUAUUGACCAACAUGAAUUGUGCAUAAUAAACGAGUAAAAACAACAUCAACGCGACUAUAUGACCUUUCCGUGAGCGAUCGGUGAAGAUAUAUUUAAUUCGUGUUUAAAAGUGAACUGAGACGGAAGUGCAUCUGACCAUGAGUAUUGGGAUAAUAUUCAAUUGAUUAAAAUAAUUUAAACAUGUGAGAUAAUUUGGAUAAAAAACAAAACAAAGUUUUUAAAAUGUUUAUGUGGUUAUUUUGCUCAAUAAAAAGUCUAACAUUAAUGGAAGAUAAUCAAGCUGAUAUUGGGAAAGUGCCCGAUACACAUUUGGAUGUUUUCAUGGCAAUUUUCAUGGUGUGUGCCUUAGAAGUGGUCGUUUUGAAAAUUCUCACUUUUGAAGAAGAACUCGACAGACGUCGACGUUCAACCGAUUUGUAUUAUGAAAAUGAUGAUGAACAAUACUAAAACUUGUAAAAGUAGUAUUUCAAGGUGAAUGUAAAUUCAAAAAUUGAACUGGAACCAAAAUAUAAAGUACAAAAAUUACUAAUGCUAAUAUUGGUAGAGUUUAUGAAUUAUCCUGUAAAAUAUGGAGACAUUCAAUAUGAGGCAAUCACAUUCACAUGGUAAUAGCGGGGAUAUCGUAAAGAAAGUUGCCUACGUUAAUCUUGCCAAGCUUCAUUUCUUGUUUCUAAUGCAAAGUUUCUCCAACAAAACUUCACUUCUUUACAAAAACGAUUCAUCUUAAGACAAGAACAAAAUCUUCUAUUAUUACACGCAUAUUAUCAAUAAAAAGAUAUUUUCUACCUUUGCAAUGCUAAUAAA